UUUUUCCUGCAAGUUUCAUUCUUUGGAUGGCUGCAAAUUUGAGUGUUGGGGCAUGAUGGAGACGGGUGGAACCUUCUUGAUUUUCGAUUUGGAGGCUUCUUUUGGGUGGAUUCUGGUGCCUGCAAGAGGCAGUGGUUCGUGGUCGGCGGUGUUGGCGGCGGCUGAGUACUUAGGGUUUUUGGCUUUUGUUUUGUUUUGCUUUGACUCAUCCGUUUGGUUGGGCCUGCUGGGGGAUUCAAAUUUUAGUAUUGGACUUUAUUUGUAAUUGGAUCCCAAUUUGUAAAUAUUUUUUUUUGUUGUGGUAAUGAAUUAUUACCUUUGGACCCCCAAAAAAAAAAUGGUGGACAUACCAUGGAAAGAAUUUACAGCUAGUGUUAAGAGCAUUUAUUUACGGAAGCACAUUAUACAAGUGUCCGAUCCCCUACCGCUUGUAUUAAGAAAAUGAAAAUAAAGUAAUAGUAUAUCGUGCAUAUAUGAGCAAC
rnacentral:lncRNA from 1 species